GACGUAGGGGGCGAGCGUUGUUCGGAUUUACUGGGCGUAAAGCGCGCGUAGGCGGCCAGAUAAGUCGGGUGUGAAAGCCCUCGGCUCAACCGAGGUUCCGCAUCCGAUACUGCUUGGCUGGAGUCUAGGAGAGGAGAGCGGAAUUCCCAGUGUAGCGGUGAAAUGCGUAGAUAUUGGGAGGAACACCCGUGGCGAAGGCGGCUCUCUGGACUAGUACUGACGCUGAGGCGCGAAAGCUAGGGGAGCGAACGGGAUUAGAUACCCCGGUAGUCCUAGCCGUAAACGAUGGGCACUAGGUGUGGGAGGUAUUGACCCCUUCCGCGCCGAAGCUAACGCAUUAAGUGCCCCGCCUGGGGAGUACGGCCGCAAGGCUA
rnacentral:rRNA from 1 species